UCCAACGGUAGGCACACUCUCCCCUCUCUUUCUUCUCUCUUCAUCCACCCGUGAUCCUCCCCUGAGCCGCCUACUGUUCGAUCCCAAAACUAAUCCCCCGAUUUCGGAUCGAGGCACCAUAGAUCUCAGCUGCUUCCCCACGCGCCUCUCACCAGAUCCAUGCCGACAUGCCCAUCCUCUCCUCCCCGUCCAUCUGCUCGUGGAUCUUGUCGCCGGGGUAUCCUUCCCGGAUCUGUUCGCAAGUCCCCAGCCUCAACCAGGGACGCCAACCACCACCACCACCCCUCUCACGUCGUCGUCCCUCGCCGGUCACGCUGUGGUAGGGACUGCUGCUUCCCCUCCGUCGCACACUCAUAGAGGCGACAAGGAAGCGAAUUGCCCUCCUCGCGGGCUGGACGCUGCUGCCACUGUGCAAUGUACGGCUGCAGGCGUUCACCUCCUAGUCCAUCGUCUGCCACACCUUAUUCUCCACCAAGGAAGUGUUGGAGAGCCACCACGCCAUCUUCGCUGUUAGCACCUCCAUCGCCUCCCUCCUAACGGCGUGGCCGUGCACAACUACUUGCUGCUGAACCUUGUUAAUGUGUUCUAAGGGACGGAGACGGGGAGAGAUGUAGUUGUACAACUACUUGCUGGUGAACCUUGUUAGUGUGUUCGUCCGAUUGAUUAACUUUAGGGCACACCUCAAUUGGAAGUCCACACUGCACUAUAGCAAUAUUGUUUUGGAAUGCCCCAUUUAUGGUGAUGACUGAAUGCGUAUUUGGAUAUAGUUAAAUUAUAGUUUGAUCUGGUUCGUUCUGCUGUCUUGGGAUCUAACGCAGAGGCGUAUCUCAGGUGUUGCACCUGCCAGCGUUUUAGGGGUCUUUGUAAUCCACUUAUGUGAACAGUUUCAUGCCACCUGAACUAGGCCAGCCCACCGCACCUGCCAGCGUUUCAGGGGUCUUUGUAAUCCACUUAUGUGAACAGUUUCAUGCCACCUGAACUAUGCCAGCCCACCACACCCGGUGGUGAAACAUGCCAACAGCAAUAAUUUCAUGUUCGAGUCUCACGUUAUGGACCAUAGUAAAUGCAUUGUAUUCAUCUUUCCAGCUACUGCAGAAAUUUUUGUGUAUUUAAAUUGUGUCUUACAAUUAUUCAUCAUGUUAUUUAAAAAUAUUCGUCGCGUAAUUUGUAAAUUUUCAUUGUAUUUUUCAAAAAAAACAUUUAUCACGUAUUUAAAAAUUGCUCACUGUUCUUAAAUUGUAUGUCAUGUAUUAAAAUGUACAUCUCAUGUUAAAGAACAUCGUGUAUUAAAAAAUAUCAAUUGUUUGAAGUGCACUUAAAAAUGUUCAUCGUGUGAUUCAAAAAGGUUAUCGUGUUUGAAAACAAUAGCGAGCACACCUGCACAUGGCACCUUUGUAUAUCAAAUAGAUUAAUCGCAUAUAACAAAGAAAGACACAGGCGCACCCAUAGCAAAGGCCAGACAGUGGGUUGUGAUUCUGAGAUCAUGUAGCUCGGCCUCCAAAAUGUCUUUCUCUUCUACUGUAGCUAUUUUAUGAUCCUUAUUGUUUUUCAUCCUUACUGCCUCUGAUACAUGCAUCAUAAAAACACAUUGUAUUGCAAGCUGUUGGUGCCUACUCCUGAUCCUUACUGUUUUUCAUUUGUACGCUAAAUGAGGCAAUUGGUAUCAGAUUAGUUUGUGGGUGUCAUUUGAGGUUCGAGUAAAUGUCUUGGCAGUGUGCCAACUUCUAGGCAGUAGCAAAAUUAAUAGAGAGUGUUUCCUUUUUUCAGAUGACUGCCUCAAGAAUAUUAUAAAUGUGCAGUACCAAGACAGUUAUGCCAUAAACCUGUCAACUAUAAGAUAUAAACAAGUUGUUUAAAAAAUCAAAUCAAUUAUUAGAUUGUUAUUUUUAGUUUAUUCUGCUUGGAAGUGUCCAGUAUGUGUUCCCUGAUGGCAAUAUGAAAAUAUGCUAUAUUUGGUCCUGUAGGUAUUUUCCAUGUACGAGUAUAUACUUUGCUGCAUAUAUGUGCUUGGUUCAGUGAUAUUCAUACAUGAUACAUGCAGAUUGUACAUUCUGAAUAUUUUCUUCGGAUGUUUUUUUCUGUGCUAGAAUGUGAUAAUUAAGACCAUACAUGUGGAUUAUAACUUCCGUCUAUUUGAGCAUCUCCUUCAGGGUAGGUGAUACUUAGAAAAGGGAGGAAAGAACACCUUACCUAUUGACAUGUUAGUAUAUUAUUCACUUACUAGGAGGGACCGUAAGUAUACAGUAGCUUUUCCAUAUCACUGUAGAAAAAAGAUCAUUUGUAGAGGAGAUUUGGAAUAAGGAAAUAAUUAACCAGAAGGAUGGAUACAUUCUUAUGUACUCCAUCCGAUCCUAAAUAUAAGUCUUUUAAGCGAUUUCACUAGGUGUCUACAUACGAAGCAAAAUGAUUGAAUGUACACUCUAAAG